rnacentral:rRNA from 1 species
AGGACCUUGUGCUUUUGGAGCGGCCGAUGCCUGAUUAGCUAGUUGGUGGGGUAAAGGCCUACCAAGGCUUCGAUCAGUAGUUGGUCUGAGAGGACGGCCAGCCACACUGGGACUGAGACACGGCCCAGACUCCUACGGGAGGCAGCAGUGGGGAAUUUUGGACAAUGGGGGCAACCCUGAUCCAGCCAUGCCGCGUGAGUGAAGAAGGCCUUCGGGUUGUAAAGCUCUUUCAGUCGGGAAGAAAAGGUUGUGACUAAUAAUUGCAAUUCAUGACGGUACCGACAGAAGAAGCACCGGCUAACUACGUGCCAGCAGCCGCGGUAAUACGUAGGGUGCGAGCGUUAAUCGGAAUUACUGGGCGUAAAGGGUGCGCAGGCGGUUUUGUAAGUCAGAUGUGAAAUCCCCGGGCUUAACCUGGGAACU